rnacentral:tRNA from 1 species
CAAAGUAUAGCUUAAACAAAGCACCCCGCUUACACCGAGACUACAUCUGUUAGAACCAGAUUACUUUGA